UGUUAUAAGGGUUAUUUAAUACGAGCGGCUGAGAUGAGAUAUCUUUUGGGGUUGAUGGUUUCGCCGCCAUUGGAUUGGGAAGGCCCUCCAACAUUUGCAAUAGACACCUCAUUUAUUUUUGUGGUUGAGAUGAAAUAUUUCAUGAGCUGAUCAUUGAGCACCAUUGGAUUACAAUAGCCCCCCACAGUUUUUGCCAUAUUUUCUCUAAAGCCCUCUUCUGGGGGUUUCUGAUCAAAUCUUCACAAGCUACUUUAAUGGAGGAUUUGGGAUUAAACUUUACAGGGAAGGCAACAAACGGAAAGAGCACCUUUUCAGCCAAAAGCUUGGGGGAUAGAGGAGUAAGAGGAGAGGGCUAGUUUUUGAUUAGGAUAAACAUUCUCUAAUGUAAGUCACAUUCCUCACAAUUAUUUUCUAUUCUUUUUUUUAAAUUAUUGUAUUUUAGUUCUUUUUUUUUAUUUUUUUUGUCAUGUAAAUUUGUACUCCUUGAUCCGCUGUUGUUACUAAUCUAUCAUCAAUAAUGAGAGUUGAAGAAUUUCCCUUUAUUUUCCCUUUUCUGUAUUCCAAGUUAAUUAUUUGUUAAUAUGUUGUGAGUAAGAUAUUAAGCAUCAACAAACAGCUAUAUGGCAACUCUUUGAAUGAUUUGGAAGUGAAUUGCAAAAUCUGAUUGGAAGAAAUAAUUUUUAAAAAAAUGUGGGAUACUCUUGAAUCUAGUUGCUAUAAUUGUGAACAAAUCAUCAACGGAUUAAGGCAAUUUUUUUUUUUUUGAAAAGAAAAAGUUAAGGUAAAUUAAUGAAGAUCCAGUCACAGAAGCCCAUGACCAAGCACUUGAUCUGGAACCUAAAUAUACUUCCGCUUAGAAAGUGAAAGCCCAUUGCCCUUUAUCCAUUAAAAGUUUCAUUUCACCAAAUAAUACAUGCCACAGGACUUUUUAGUCAAGAAAUCUCUAUAUACCAAAAUGUUCCUUUUCAAAUUGGUUGAAGAAGGAAAAAAAACAUUGCAUGUAGUUUCCAAAAGGCAAUAUAGAGUAAGUCUAAGAAGUACUUAUUACUAUUGUAAGCCUAAUAUUUGCUUCAAACCAACUCAAAAAACAUAUUGAGAUAACCAAUGCAAUAUGGUGUCACUAGCGGAAGAACAAUAAUCAGUAAACAGCUGAUUUCUCAUGUGUUUAGUUAUUUCCAUGGACAUCUUACUGUUAUGGUUUAGAAUGUCUUCAAAAUCAAGUGGAAAAAUGACUAAAAGUGAUUUUUUUCCAUCUAUGAUCAAUAUCCUUUUUGUUUUAAAUGAUCCCUUAGAUCCUUGAUUUUGUCACAGCUAAUGUUGCAUUCAUUUUAGCUUGUGGUACCAGGGGCUGAAUUCAGUGAAACAGACAGAUUCUGGAGUCAUAAAAAGGAAAAUCAUUCAAAAAUUUUGUGAUUUUCUUUGUGUUUUGAAAAGGAGAAGUAAUUGGCAAUUAGGCUAUAUCCUUGAGGUAGGAGAAGUGACAAAUUCUGUAAAUGGGCCAGUUUUAGAAAGCCUCUAAAAAAUUUGGGGUUCGGCCCUGUCCCUAGACUGGUAAAGGAUUGUUUUUCCGGGAUUGGGGAUUGACAUACAUUUUAUCAUUUCUCCUCUUAUUAUGGUCAAAGUAUUUCUUUAAUUGAUUUCUCUCUUUUUUUCUUGACUCACGAUAUCUUUCUACUGUGUCAUUUCUACCUAAUUUGGACUGAUUGAGCAUAAAGAAGCUAAAAUGAGAUGAUUUUCCUCUUUUUUGGCUCCUCAAAGAAACUCAAGUGAUGGCCAGGGAUAAACAAAAAGAAAAAAAACACAACUAUGGUUUUUUUUUAAUUUUUUAUUAUCAUUAUUAAAAGGGAAACCUCAGCUGUGAUAGUUGUAUAUUUGGAGCUGAUUCAGGUUUGUUCUUGUACCACCUUAAUUUGUUUUAAUGCUUAUUUUCCCCUUUGAGGCGUUUACUUGUACUUCAACUCUUCGUGUACAUGUAUGCACACAUGCAUGCAACAAAGACAUGACUAUGAAAAGAACUAAGGGGGGCUGGAAUAAAAUCGAUAGCUCAUUCUCAAUUCUUAUUACUAUAGUAAAAUACGAGUGAAAUCAAUAUUAUACGGCUCACACCCUACAAUAAAGAAUAAUGUCGAUACUCUAUUACUGGUAAUUCAAGAAAACACCUAGUUCUAGCUAGUUGGAAGUUGGCAUGGUGCAUGCAGAAUUAGCCUUCAUGGAUUCUUCUUCAGAGCGUCUAUGUACCUUACUUGCAUGAUGUCAUUAUUAGAAAUGAAGUCAAGAAAACCACUGAAGCUGCCUUCUGUGUAGGACAAAGGAUGUUGAUCAUCCACAAGCUCCGAGGCAGGUCCUACCUUCCUCUCUAAGGCUAAACUAUGAAGGCUCGCAAUGGAAAUACGAUCAGUGUCCGAGUUAACCGUAGCGCGGUGGACAAGGCUCUUACAUAGACCAUUGCUGAUUAUUUCC
rnacentral:lncRNA from 1 species